rnacentral:lncRNA from 13 species
GUUUUGUUUAGCUGCUAAUGUCCUGCCUGGCCCACCGGCGGAUUGGCCUUGCUGACCUGAUACAUCGCAGCUCUUCUCCUUGGAACGCCUGUCUUGUCCAGCGCCCCCUGGGCCAAAGGCCAGGGUCUCGGCAGGAUUGACCAGCUGCUUGAGGUGGCCACAAAAGACAACUUCAGCUUGGAACGGGCAAAUGAAUGUAUUCAUUUAUCUUUCUUUCCCCCCAAACCUAUCCACAAACUCAAUCUACUGCCUGGCUUGAAACAAAACAAAGGGAUGAUCUAGAGAAGGGGGGCAGGAGAGGCCCAUCUCGCACCAGAAAUCUUAGCUCCCUUCUUGGAGGCCGUCUGUUCAGUUUCACAACACUUACAAGACCAAUUUCCAGAAUUGAAGUUGCCUGGUGUUUUGAUUCUUCCUUUGCCUGUGCAUUUGUGCCCUGAAGGUCCCUUCCAAAUGGAUACUAAUUGUGGGGGCUGCACGCUGCUGGCUGCUCCAAUGCCCCAGGGCCCGAGGACCUGCUUCUCAAAGCCUUAAUUGACAAGGACCUGUCUGUAUUUAGGAGCAGCUGGUCCAGAGCAUUGGCACAUCAGUGCAAUCUUAACGCAGCAUCCCUAGCCCGGAGGAUGAGGGUAAAUGUGGUUAAAAUGAAGGAAGAUUUAUAGCCGGCCCCCUUGGGUAAUAGGACGGAAGACAGCUCCCAAGAUUUUCCCCUACUAGGGGGUUCAUUCAUCAGCUCUCGGACCUGGUAACCGGGGAGGCAGAGUGCUUAAGCUAUUAUUACUAAUGGGGGAGGGGCGGAGGCCAGCUUAGAACAAUUAGGCAGGUGACAGUAUUCCACUAUAAUGUGCCGUCUUCGAAGUUGGACCGGGUUUCGAAGACUAUCACGGCUGUCUCUUGCUUCCGCGGGCCUUGGCGCCGGGGCCUCCGCCUGGGUCUGGCUCUGGGUUAAUGGUGGCGCCGCCGGGAGGCUGGGAAGGGAGAGGGGAGUGCACUCUGGCUGCCCUGCCCAGAAACAGGGAGGCUUUCAGUGGCCGCUCGGACUCCUCGUUAGGGCGUUUGAAAGCCCCAAAUGGCCGGUGGCAGGGGCCAUUGCGUGGGUCAGUUUUUCCUUCCUGCGCCCCAUCAGGCGCGCCUGGUUCUCCAACUACCGGCUCCUCCACGCUGCGAGCGCCUUUCUACAACCUGCUGGCUCCGUAGAUACAGCCAUUCAGCCGGUUACAAAAAAGGAACAAUGCCAACAUUGAAGCCCUCGGUUGGAGUCUGCACAGUUGGAGAUCUUUGGUGCCAUUUUAGACAUCUUUGGAUUUCAUCAAUCAAACUGACUGCAAUUUUCCAUAAAAACCCUGAAUUUGGGUCAGAAAGUGGGCAAAGUAGAUAAAGAUCAUUCGAGCUGUCUUAUAAGAUGAUAAAUAGAUAUCCUUUCAGGCCAACAAUGCCAAAGUGCAGUUUUGUGAUUCCCUUCCAUGGGUUCUGAAUGCAGUGAGUCGAAACGAUUUCUACAUGUUUUCCCAUGGUUUAGGAGGUGUCUUUACAUACUUGUCAAUAGCAGCCUGACCUUUUUCCCCACGGAGUUGCUAAGUGUGUUUUGUUUAUUGCUUUGAGUCUUUUUUUUCUUGUGUGUGUGUGUUGCACAAAAUACACAAGAAAAUAAAGGUGUAUUUUUUCUUUUACUGCUCA